AGUGAACGCUGGCGGUAGGCCUAACACAUGCAAGUCGAACGGCAGCACAGUAAGAGCUUGCUCUUACGGGUGGCGAGUGGCGGACGGGUGAGGAAUACAUCGGAAUCUACUUUUUCGUGGGGGAUAACGUAGGGAAACUUACGCUAAUACCGCAUACGACCUACGGGUGAAAGCAGGAGAGCUUCGGACCUUGCGCGAUUGAAUGAGCCGAUGUCGGAUUAGCUAGUUGGCGGGGUAAAGGCCCACCAAGGCGACGAUCCGUAGCUGGUCUGAGAGGAUGAUCAGCCACACUGGAACUGAGACACGGUCCAGACUCCUACGGGAGGCAGCAGUGGGGAAUAUUGGACAAUGGGCGCAAGCCUGAUCCAGCCAUACCGCGUGGGUGAAGAAGGCCUUCGGGUUGUAAAGCCCUUUUGUUGGGAAAGAAAAGCAGCAGGUUAAUACCCCGCUGUUCUGACGGUACCCAAAGAAUAAGCACCGGCUAACUUCGUG
rnacentral:rRNA from 1 species